rnacentral:sRNA from 2 species
CUUGCAAUUGAGAACUCCAAUUCCUUGCCGAAUUUCCAAUACUUGCUUGCGGUUCGUGAUCCACACACUAACAUAGCAAGUUUUUGGAAACAAACAGACACUAAUCGGCCGAGAGCCUCUUCGAGAGGUUUACUCGUGAGUCAUGGCCAAGUACAAGGAUUCUGUCAAUAUCCUACUCAAGUUUCCAUCCAGGUUGCUGUCAAGUUGGGUUUAAAGCAAAGCAUUAUCAUUUUUGGUUCAGUGCCACAGGUAGACUCAGAAACCAUGAUCGUCGCGCCAACUGGCAUUUCAGGCAUUGAAAUCACACACAAAGAAGAUUGCAAUGACCAGGCUAAAAUUCUUUGCUGUUUUUGAUGUCCUUUCAGGGUUUAUGUCUACAUCACCACUAGCCUCAAUGAGGUAGAUCCGUUAUAACUCACACCCGUCAAACAUAUGUCCACUCUUAAGUUGAUUUUUUGGGGCAGGCUUGAGUGGUUACUUGUAUGUGCGCAUUCAUUCUGCACCAGCUUCUUCAGGUGCCUUUUCAUCAAUUCAUAAUCGAUGGAGUUUGGCUUCCCCAUAACAACUUCUACUCCUCCUCUGACAUCAAAUGCGACCACAAGAAAAGGGGAUGAGAACAAGAGAAAUCUGUGUGGGAAUACUGCGUCCAGCAGUCGAUGCCCAACUUUUCCAAUAUGAUAUGAAUAUUGAAUCACGCGAAGGCGUCUUGAUCCGAAGUACUAUGUUUCCCGCUCUUUGCUUAUGUCCUCCCGUCUUAUUUUUCUACUUCCACAGUCAAUGUUCAUGAAAAAUGUUUAUCCCUAGUUAGGUACUUGUCUGUAAUAAUGACCAAUUGGCAGCGGCAAAGCAUAGAAUGGUGCGGAAAUUAUCCCUUCAGAAAUUCUCUGGCUAUUCAGAACUUCGCCGUCUUGAAGGUUUCUUAUGAACUUCGGCCCGAAACGUGCGGAAUUCCUAUUCCACUCUUCAAAAAGCAGUCCUGGCUAAGCUCGCGUAACAUGUAUAAUUGUGUCCAUGGCCUAGUGGCCAAAAGCCCACAUCCUCUCCACAAUAUCUAAAUCUAAAUGUAAAUGUAAACGGUAUCUAUUUUAUCCUAAUGUACAGCGCAUACAUACCCUCCGACACCCCACUCUUUCUUCUCACAGCCUCAAAAUCUCACCAUUCGCCCCAACUCCCCCACGGAAAUGAUCAGAAAUAACCCGACCCUCCAACACCGUCUCCUGAACAAUCCCUUCAACAUGUCUCGGCUCAACCCUUCCAUACCAAAUGCCUUUCCCAGCCAGCGACACCGGCCCGCCCUCCCCGCUUCCCGCCGACGACAUCGACGGCGGAAGGUAAAUAAUAACGUUCCCCGCGUACUUGUGCCCUCCGAUGUGACUUAUCAACCCCACAUUCGCCCAGCCAGCAACAUCCGUAAACGCACCAUCGCCAUUCUCCUCCCCGCCACUUACUCUAAACCCUUUCGCCCGCAGGACGCGCCGGAACUCAGUCUGCAGAAGGGGUCCCAUAAUCCCACACCGCUGAUCGCGGUGGCCGUGUCCGCAUAUCAGGAUGGUGGGGGAGUGUCGUAUCCGCGCCAUAUCUGGGAAGAAAGAGUGUUGGAGAGUGGGGACCCGGCGCAUGCACUCUUUUUGUGAGGCCGGGAGCGGGUCGUGGGCUGGGUGGAGGGUUGUGGGUAGAAGAAAGCCGCGUACAAAGGCAUCUAGGCCGGCUUCGUCGAGAGGAGUUUUGGGUAUGUACCGGAAUGAGGGAAAGAGAAGGGCGGAAGCAGUAGUGGCUGCCCCGGUCCCGGUUGAGUGCUGAGGUUGGAAUGAGGUGUUUGUAAUCAUGAUGUUGUUGUAUGGCUAUGAUUUUCCCUCCGCAAAUUCAAGUUAGCGUCAGCUCUUAGAAAUAAUAUAUUCAUUUUGUCAGGG